rnacentral:rRNA from 1 species
AUUGAACGCUGGCGGCAGACCUAACACAUGCAAGUCGGACGGUAGCACAGAGGAGCUUGCUCCUCGGGUGACGAGUGGCGGACGGGUGAGUAAUGUCUGGGGAUCUGCCCGAUAGAGGGGGAUAACCACUGGAAACGGUGGCUAAUACCGCAUAACGUCGCAAGACCAAAGAGGGGGACCUUCGGGCCUCUCACUAUCGGAUGAACCCAGAUGGGAUUAGCUAGUAGGCGGGGUAACGGCCCACCUAGGCGACGAUCCCUAGCUGGUCUGAGAGGAUGACCAGCCACACUGGAACUGAGACACGGUCCAGACUCCUACGGGAGGCAGCAGUGGGGAAUAUUGCACAAUGGGCGCAAGCCUGAUGCAGCCAUGCCGCGUGUAUGAAGAAGGCCUUCGGGUUGUAAAGUACUUUCAGCGGGGAGGAAGGCGAUGUGGUUAAUAACCGCAUUGAUUGACGUUACCCGCAGAAGAAGCACCGGCUAACUCCGUGCCAGCCGCCGCCGUAA